rnacentral:lncRNA from 1 species
UGAGGUUGAAUUCAAAUAAGUGCACUAUCAGAGUGUGGGCCGGUAAGCUGUUGGGGUUCAUUGCAAGAGAGGAAUCGAGGUUGAUCCUGCUUAAAAAAAAAGAAGAAAAAAAAAGAAAGAAAACAAAACAAGAAAUGCCUGAACCGAGAAUGGAAAGAGAGGUUCGUAGUCUCCUGGGUAGAUUGAACUACAUGUCAUGGUUCACAUCUCACCUAACAGCCACGUGGGAACCCAUUC